AUGCGUGCCAAGUGUGCAGACGCAGAGGAAUAACUUUUCCCCGCAGGUGGAGCUUGUCUAAGCAAGGAGAGAUUUGAGGUGCUGUUUGGUAAUGGAAGAUGGAGAGAGGAAAAGCUGUGCAUAGCCAGCGCAUCCCAUCUGCACCGUUGUUCCCAUGCACAAAGGAGAGGAGCAUCUCAGCAAGCAUGGCCUGGGCCAUGGAAGGGAGCAUACAGACAUCUGGACCAACCCGAAAGGAGUUAGUUCUGCAGGAAUGUCCCAGAGCAUUGUGGUUUCAGCUGUCACAACGCUUUGAUCCCUUGCUUGCUGGGCUGGGGCGUUUGAGGAAUGAUGCAUGUGCUGAUGUGCAGCCAGGCUCUGGGGAUGAGUCUGCGUAGCAGGGUAUGCCUGGCAGGUCUGAGGCUUGGGAACCAGGCCUGGUGGAAUCCAGUGUGCUUUGCUCUUGUUUCUCAUUGCUUGGUU